AUGGCCACCUUCCACAUCAUAGCUCUCAGCUUAUCGAAGGGGACGCUUAGAAAGAUCGACAAAAUCAUUCGGGCCUUCAUUUGGCAAAAAGAGGACCAAGCUCAGACUUCGGGAGGUCACUCCCUUGUUAACUGGAAAACCGUCUGCCGUCCAAGGCAUCUGGGCGGUCUUGGGAUCAUGGACCUGGAGAGAUUUAGCCGCGCCCUGCGCCUCCGGUGGCCUUGGCUGCAAUGGACCGACCCAGAAAGGCCAUGGGUGGGAUCGGAGCUGCCGUGUGACGAAUCAGAUAUGAGCCACUUUCGCGCAUGUACCUCGAUUAUACUGGGCAAUGGGCAGAAGGCGCUGUUUUGGCAUGACAACUGGACUGGUGACGGUCCGCUCAAGCUUCUUGCUCCACAGCUCUACAAGAUUGCCUCAAGAAAGAACAGAUCGGUGCACAACCAGCUCAUGAACGAGAACUAG
rnacentral:rRNA from 1 species